GAUGAACGCUGGCGGCGUGCCUAACACAUGCAAGUCGAGCGAUUCUCUUCGGAGAAGAGCGGCGGACGGGUGAGUAACGCGUGGGUAACCUGCCCUGUACACACGGAUAACAUACCGAAAGGUAUGCUAAUACGGGAUAACAUAAGAAAUUCGCAUGUUUUUCUUAUCAAAGCUCCGGCGGUACAGGAUGGACCCGCGUCUGAUUAGCUAGUUGGUGAGGUGACGGCUCACCAAGGCGACGAUCAGUAGCCGACCUGAGAGGGUGAUCGGCCACAUUGGAACUGAGACACGGUCCAAACUCCUACGGGAGGCAGCAGUGGGGAAUAUUGCACAAUGGGCGAAAGCCUGAUGCAGCAACGCCGCGUGAGCGAUGAAGGCCUGGUCGUAAGACUCUGU
rnacentral:rRNA from 1 species